rnacentral:rRNA from 1 species
UAACAAUCAAAACCGCAUGGUUUUGAUUUGAAAGGCGCUUUCGGGUGUCGCUGAUGGAUGGACCCGCGGUGCAUUAGCUAGUUGGUGAGGUAACGGCUCACCAAGGCCACGAUGCAUAGCCGACCUGAGAGGGUGAUCGGCCACAUUGGGACUGAGACACGGCCCAAACUCCUACGGGAGGCAGCAGUAGGGAAUCUUCGGCAAUGGACGAAAGUCUGACCGAGCAACGCCGCGUGAGUGAAGAAGGUUUUCGGAUCGUAAAACUCUGUUGUUAGAGAAGAACAAGGAUGAGAGUAACUGUUCAUCCCUUGACGGUAUCUAACCAGAAAGCCACGGCUAACUACGUGCCAGCAGCCGCGGUAAUACGUAGGUGGCAAGCGUUGUCCGGAUUUAUUGGGCGUAAAGCGAGCGCAGGCGGUUUCUUAAGUCUGAUGUGAAAGCCCCCGGCUCAACCGGGGAGGGUCAUUGGAAACUGGGAGACUUGAGUGCAGAAGAGGAGAGUGGAAUUCCAUGUGUAGCGGUGAAAUGCGUAGAUAUAUGGAGGAACACCAGUGGCGAAGGCGGCUCUCUGGUCUGUAACUGACGCUGAGGCUCGAAAGCGUGGGGAGCAAACAGGAUUAGAUACCCUGGUAGUCCACGCCGUAAACGAUGAGUGCUAAGUGUUGGAGGGUUUCCGCCCUUCAGUGCUGCAGCUAACGCAUUAAGCACUCCGCCUGGGGAGUACGACCGCAAGGUUGAAACUCAAAGGAAUUGACGGGGGCCCGCACAAGCGGUGGAGCAUGUGGUUUAAUUCGAAGCAACGCGAAGAACCUUACCAGGUCUUGACAUCCUUUGACCACUCUAGAGAUAGAGCUUCCCCUUCGGGGGCAAAGUGACAGGUGGUGCAUGGUUGUCGUCAGCUCGUGUCGUGAGAUGUUGGGUUAAGUCCCGCAACGAGCGCAACCCUUAUUGUUAGUUGCCAUCAUUCAGUUGGGCACUCUAGCAAGACUGCCGGUGACAAACCGGAGGAAGGUGGGGAUGACGUCAAAUCAUCAUGCCCCUUAUGACCUGGGCUACACACGUGCUACAAUGGGAAGUACAACGAGUUGCGAAGUCGCGAGGCUAAGCUAAUCUCUUAAAGCUUCUCUCAGUUCGGAUUGCAGGCUGCAACUCGCCUGCAUGAAGCCGGAAUCGCUAGUAAUCGCGGAUCAGCACGCCGCGGUGAAUACGUUCCCGGGCCUUGUACACACCGCCCG